rnacentral:antisense_RNA from 1 species
UUUGGAAAAGUAUAAACCUAAGGCAUCACCUUUACAGAAAAUAUCUUCCACGGAAACAUCUAAAGGCCACAGAUCAGCCCUGGGGUUCAGAGGGAUCCUGACGGCUACUCCUCAAGAUCCUCUCUGUUGUGAUUCAUCCCCCCCGGGCCCUACAGUUUCUCCUUCCUGACUCUUACAUUUCUUUGGAUGGCAUCAUUAUUUACCUGUCUCCUCCCAUAGUUAGGUGCCAAGCACUGUGGAUUCUGCCCCUCAGUGUCCAGACACCCAUUUUCCUUCCCACUGUUCCUUCCCCAUGGAGAAGCCUGUGGCUGGCUGACAGCAGAGAGAGAUGCUCAACUUGGAGAAGGUGUUACCUGGGCCAGGUGGGGAAGGUUUGUUUGCAGAGCAAAGAAGUGAAGGAAGUAUUAACCCUUUGCAUGGCCUCCUGAGAAUCCGACAAGACGUAAAUAGCCAAGAAUAUCUGUGGAACUUAAUCACUGAGUUACAGUAUUUAUCACUGCAAGUGUGUUGUUCAUUGACACUAUAAAGCCAUGUGGAAUUAAGCAGCCUUGAAACACAAAAUGGAGAAAGGCUGAGAGCUGAGAAUUGUUGCCUUCAGGAAAAUACAAUCAAUGUCAAGCAAACAACCACCCCAAAAUGGUUAGCUUUAUCAGCAUUCAGGCCUACAGUGAAAGCAAAUGUUCCAGAUCUGAGUUUCAAUUUUUAAAGAAUAAACAUAUGCAAAUGA